rfam:Oryza glaberrima chromosome 6 Oglab06_0176_8, whole genome shotgun sequence.
AAUAAAUGCAUUUUUACACUAUUCAUGUUCAACGUGUGACUGUUCAUCUUAUUUAAAAUUUUUUUAUGAUUAGUAUUUUUAUUGCUAUUAGAUGAUAAAAUAUGAAUAGUACUUUAUGUGUGACUAAAUAUUUUUAAAUUUUUCAUAAAUUUUUCUAAUAAGACGGAUGGUCAAACGUUGGGUAUGGAUAUCCAUAGAUGUACUUAUU